rnacentral:rRNA from 1 species
ACGAAGUAGCAAUACUUAGUGGCAGACGGGUGAGUAACAUGUAGGUAUCUGCCCUUUGGCCUGGAAUAACACGAGGAAACUUGUGCUAAUACCGGAUAAGUCUUUACGGAGAAAGCUUUAUGCACCAUUGGAUGAGCCUGCACUUGAUUAGUUUGUUGGUGGGGUAAUGGCCUACCAAGACUGUGAUCAAUAGCUGAUUUGAGAGGAUGAUCAGCCACAUUGGGACUGAGACACGGCCCAAACUCCUACGGGAGGCAGCAGUGGGGAAUCUUGCACAAUGGAGGAAACUCUGAUGCAGCGAUGCCGCGUGAGUGAAGAAGGCCCUUGGGUUGUAAAGCUCUUUCGUCGGGGAAGAAAAUGACUGUACCCGAAUAAGAAGGUCCGGCUAACUUCGUGCC